rnacentral:ncRNA from 1 species
CAGGGGUUUGGUCCUGGCCCUUCCAUUAGUUAUUAAUAAGAUUACACAUGCAAGUCUCCGCAUCCCGGUGAAAAUGCCCUCUAAAUCGUAAAUCGACCUAAAGGAGCAGGCAUCAAGCACACAAAAUGUAGCUCAUAACGCCUUGCUUAGCCACACCCCUACGGGUUACAGCAGUGACAAAAAUUAAGCCAUGAACGAAAGUUCGACUAAGCUAUAUUAAACAAGGGUUGGUAAAUUUCGUGCCAGCCACCGCGGCCAUACGAUUAACCCAAACUAACGGACAUACGGCGUAAAGAGUGUCCCAGAAACAACCCACCGCUAAAGUUAAAUCCUAACUAAGCCGUAAAAAGCUACAGUUAGCAUGAAAAUACAGCACGAAAGUAACUUUAAUGCCUCAACCACACGACAGCUAAGACCCAAACUGGGAUUAGAUACCCCACUAUGCUUAGCCCUAAACUUAGAUAGCUAAUUAAACAAAUCUAUCCGCCAGAGAACUACUAGCAACAGCUUAAAACUCAAAGGACUUGGCGGUGCUUCACAUCCCUCUAGAGGAGCCUGUUCUAUAAUCGAUAAACCCCGAUAAACCUCACCACCUCUUGCUAAUUCAGUCUAUAUACCGCCAUCUUCAGCAAACCCUAAAAAGGAAUAAUAGUAAGCAAAAAUAUCUUAACAUAAAAAAGUUAGGUCAAGGUGUAGCUCAUGAGGUGGAAAGCAAUGGGCUACAUUUUCUACACAAGAACACCCCUACGAAAACUUUUAUGAAACCAAAAAGUCAAAGGAGGAUUUAGUAGUAAGCCGAGAAUAGAGUGCUCUGCUGAAUUGGGCCAUGAAGCACGCACACACCGCCCGUCACCCUCCUCAAGUACAUAAUCAAAACAUAACAUAUUCUAAACUACACCCAAUACAAGAGGAGACAAGUCGUAACAAGGUAAGCAUACUGGAAAGUGUGCUUGGAUUAAA